GCCGCGUGAGGGACGAAGGCCUCUGGGCUGUAAACCUCUUUUCUCAAGGAAGAAAAUAUGACGGUACUUGAGGAAUAACCCACGGCUAAUUCCGUGCCAGCAGCCGCGGUAAUACGGGAGUGGCAAGCGUUAUCCGGAAUUAUUGGGCGUAAAGCGUCCGCAGGCGGCUUUUCAAGUCUGCUGUUAAAGCGUGGAGCUUAACUCCAUCAUGGCAGUGGAAACUGAAAGGCUUGAGUAUGGUAGGGGCAGAGGGAAUUCCCGGUGUAGCGGUGAAAUGCGUAGAUAUCGGGAAGAACACCAGUGGCGAAGGCGCUCUGCUGGGCCAUUACUGACGCUCAUGGACGAAAGCCAGGGGAGCGAAAGGGAUUAGAUACCCCUGUAGUCCUGGCCGUAAACGAUGAACACUAGGUGUCGGGGGAAUCGACCCCUUCGGUGUCGUAGCUAACGCGUUAAGUGUUCCGCCUGGGGAGUACGCACGCAA
rnacentral:rRNA from 1 species